rnacentral:rRNA from 1 species
CACGUAGGAGGCAAGCGUUAUCCGGAUUUACUGGGCGUAAAGCGCGUGCAGGCGGUUUGGUAAGUUGGAUGUGAAAGCUCCUGGCUUAACUGGGAGAGGUCGUUCAAUACUGCCAAACUAGAGGACGGUAGAGGAAGGUAGAAUUCCUGGUGUAGUGGUGAAAUGCGUAGAUAUCAGGAGGAAUACCAGUGGCGAAGGCGGCCUUCUGGGCCGUUCCUGACGCUAAGACGCGAAAGCAUGGGUAGCGAACGGG